rnacentral:tRNA from 1 species
UCCUGUGUGGCUCAGUUGGUAGAGCAUGGUGCUUGCAAUGCCAUGGGGGGUUGUGGGUUUGAUUCCCACAGGGGAC